UGAGUCAAUACAGACCUGUAAUGAUUUGCGAGCAUGAUCGCAACAUUAUGAACAUCUAAGGGACUGA